AACGAACGCUGGCGGCAUGCCUAACACAUGCCAGUCGAACGAGGCCUUCGGGUCUAGUGGCGCACGGGUGCGUAACGCGUGGGAACCUGCCCUUAGGUUCGGAAUAACUCCCCGAAAGGGGUGCUAAUACCGGAUAACGUCUUCGGACCAAAGAUUUAUCGCCUUUGGAUGGGCCCGCGUUGGAUUAGCUAGUUGGUAGGGUAAAAGCCUACCAAGGCGACGAUCCAUAGCUGGUCUGAGAGGAUGAUCAGCCACACUGGGACUGAGACACGGCCCAGACUCCUACGGGAGGCAGCAGUGGGGAAUAUUGGACAAUGGGCGAAAGCCUGAUCCAGCAAUGCCGCGUGAGUGAUGAAGGCCUUAGGGUUGUAAAGCUCUUUUACCCGGGAUGAUAAUGACAGUACCGGGAGAAUAAGCUCCGGCUAACUCCGUG
rnacentral:rRNA from 1 species